AACAUCGCGCACCUGCGGGAACCUGCGGAAGGAUCAUUACAGAGUUGCAAAACUCCCUAAACCAUUGUGAACGUUACCUAAACCGUUGCUUCGGCGGGCGGCCCGGGUCCUUCCCGGCGCCCAUCGGCCCUCGCGGGCGCCCGCCGGAGGUAAACCAAACUAUUGCAUUGUAUGGCCUCUCUGAGCCUUCUGUACUGAAUAAGUCAAAACUUUCAACAAUGGAUCUCAGAUCGGAAGAGC
rnacentral:misc_RNA from 1 species